AAUUUUUUCUUUUUCUUUUAAUUUUAAGUUCCAGGAUCCAUGUGCAGGAUAUGCAGGUUUGUUACAUAGGGAAACGUGUGCCUCGGUGGUUUGCUGCACCUAUCAACACAUCACCUCGGUAUUAAGUCCAGCAUGUAUUAGCUAUUUUUCCUCAUGUUCUCCCACCCCCCGCCACAGCCCCUGUUAAAUUAAUUUCUUAUUCUCCUUAAUAUUCCAUACACAUUCAGAUUCCUUCUCCCCUACAAAAAUAUUUGCUAUUUUGUCCUUGCUAUUUCUCAUACUUAGAUCAUUCAUACACUAUAUUUAUUUUUUCAUUAAACUAUUUUAAAACCUUUGGAGUAAAGCA
rnacentral:lncRNA from 10 species